AUGCCAUCUCUGCAGUCACUUUUCAGAAUACAAUCAUAUUUUUACAACAUAUCAUCCUACAGAGAAGAGCCUCACAGGCUUUCAUUUUAUCUGAUUUCUCCCUUACUGCUAAGGAAUUAGUGCCUUCUCUUCAACAGGACUCUGUUCCUGGCAAGGAGAAAGAACUGGAGCAAAAGGAUAAGGAAGUUGGAAAAAGAAGAAAAGUAAGAGACUUUCAGGACCUUUCUUCGUGAGGUCUGAAUAAUGAAGACCUUACACAGAUGAAACUCCCACCAACAUCAACUAGUAUUUUGUCUGUAUACAGCCUUUACUGUUUUAUUAUUAUAUAGGUUCAAGUGUUUGGCAAACAAUCACUGAAAACUUUCACACUUAAAAAUUAAUUGCUUUGCCAUUGUCUUCCACACCAGUGAAUUAUUAGUGAUAGCCUAAAUUAAGACUUCCAGCAUAGCUGUCUUUGGUUGUGAAUAACAGUGCAGAACUUCUCUAAUUUUGUAGCCCUUUGCUGUUUUCAUGAGCACAGACAUCAUUAUUUUUUUGUAAAGUAUUUUAGUUUAGUCAUGAAGUUGCAAAUAGAGUUGUAUUUCAAAGGUGGUGUGUGGAAUUAGUUUAAUUUUUCCUUUUCUUUAGUAAUCUGAUACAAUAAUCACCUCUUGCUUUAUUAUACACAUAUUUGAAACUAACACUGUUCCUAUUACCUUUUAACUACAUACAAUUUUAAUGUAGUUUUCUAAACUACAGAUUAUGUUAAUUAAGAUUAUUACGAAAGUUCUACAGAUUUGGAGCAUACUGAUAUUUGUCAAAAGAUCUCUAAACUUGCUGGUGAUUCUGAAUGUAAUCAAACAUCUUUUGAAAAAUUUUUUGGAUGUAUUUCAAAAAAAAAUCAUUGAAGAAUCAAAACCAGUUUUGAACAUCAAUAAAGUCUGUGCAUGUAUACUUGUAUACAAGUAUGCACAAAGUAUGGAUAUUUAUUUAAUGAUUCUAUAUUAUAUUACAAUAUAUUAUUGUACCAUCAGUUUUCAACAGAUAUAUAUAUAUCCACAGCUUAUUAUGAGAAUAAGGAAUUUCAGGCAGUUUUUUCGUUAACAAAUAUUAUUUAAAAUGCUUUUUAAAUAGUGGUGAGACAGAAUGAAUAUAUAUUCUGAACAGUCAUAUGGUCAAAAAUUAUCUACCAAGUCCAAGUGAAAUGAAAGUUGUUUUGCUCAGUGAGAUAUUUUGCUAAAUUCUCUCAAAUGACAAAGGCCAUUCUGAAAAGCCAGCAAAAAAAUACAGCAGGUCAACUUUAAAGUGCGCUGUAACAAUCAACCUUAAACAGAUACCUAAUACUGCUAGCCCAUUGUGUAAUAGACUUGAUGAUAAGCAGAGAGACCAGACAUUAAUUCUUAUAAAGUCAUUUCUUAAAGAAAUCUUUAAAAGCAUAUUUGGAGAUUUUAAACAAUUCUCAUCAUGUGAAACAAACACCUGCAUCCUUUUGGUGCUCGUAAGAAAUGGCUUAUUUUGCACAACAGCCUUGUAAACUACGUUGUAAUCUGUUUUUCUACAUCAUGACAGGUGAUGGAUUUUUAUCCACACAGUACUAUCACAAGGCUAGGCUUGGAGAUGCACCUCUUUUCACUCCUUGCUUUCCAAAGUAAUCAUGUGAAAAUAGUAAUGUUAAUAUGCUUUUUAAUUAUUCUGUUAACCCCUGCAAGGAAUCUAAUUUAGUGUCUCAGAUCUGUGCACAUUCUUGACAGUCAAGAAAAACUAGUCCAAUCUUUGUCAUUAAAAUGAGAAAUGCUGCCUCUAAUUAUCUGAGCAGAGAACAGCCUUGCCAUCUAAAGCACUGUAAUUUUUAACGUCUGAAGUUUUUUUUUUUAUAUUUUUUUAUUUUCCAGAUAUACAUGAAAUUAAAAAAAAAAAAAAAAAGAGCUUUUCAAAAUGACCUCAGUUUAAAAAGAAGGAAACAGGAGAUCUUUAUAGUAGAGUAAUGCCACUGCCAUCCUGACCCAAAGAUGUGAAAAAAGGUUUCUGCAGAGGAGAAUCUGUUCUACUGCAAUAAGAUCAAUGAACUUGUAUUUUGUCAUUGAAGAGAAGACACCUUCUCUCUUCCCUCACUGAAAAAGGAACUCAAAAUUAGACAUGCUGCAAACACCACAUGACCUGCUUCUCUGAUAUGAAAUUACCUACAUGAUUGGUCCUAUGAGCCUUGGAGAAAAUGAGUUUGUUAAAGGAAGUUUAAAGGAACACUUCUGAAGGGACAAUGCACAGAAUAAGUAGACCACAAGACAAGGCGUCAGACAGAGGCUGAAGAUUCAAAAAUUGAAAAUUCAAGAAGAGGUUGAUGAUGGAAGGAUUGCUUAAAUGUCAUUUUAACAUCAACACAAACAACUCUGAAAAUCAUCAGAUAUCACUUAUUUCCCUUGAAAUUUCUCAAAAACUUCUCAAAAAGAUGUCUUUCUAAGCAAGCUUGUGAAGCAAAGCAGUGCAGGCUGUGAGUGAGUAAGAAUGGAAUUGAGUAAUCUAAAAAUUCAAGAUUUGCUAUUGAUUCCUACGUAUUUAAGUAUAGAAUACAGAUUAGGCUUUCUGCUCACAUGAGAAAAUUGUAAAAGACAGAAUGAACAUAUCAUCAGAGAGCUAAUUGCUGCAUCUUCUAAAUUGUGCUUGAAAAAUAAGACUUACCCGGAUUGUUUCUUUUUAUAACAGAGUACAAGAAUAGCUGUACUCAGGCAAGCCAAAGGUACACAGAGUGCAGUAUCCUAUUUCUAACUCUGACCAAUACGAGAUGCCUAAGGAAGACUCUAAGAGCAUGGCAAGCACAGUGAUAUUUCCACAAAAAUCUCUCCUGGCCACAAGCAUUUUGAGGCUUAGGAACCACAGGUGGUGACUCUGUAUUAAAUAGUCCUCUAUGAAUUUUCCUACUAGUUAGCUCAGUAAUCUUGGAAGUUUUUUUAAAAAAAUAAAAAAAAAUUAGUGUCUUUUGGUGCUUAGCUCUUCAUCCCGUAUGAAGGGCCAUCUCUAUUUUUUAUUUAUUUAUUUUUCUAAGUUUAAUCUGAUGUUCUGCUAGUCUUACUUGCUUUAAAGUUAGGAAAUAACCAGAAAACUUAUAACAUGAACUCUUACAAUAGACAGCUGAAGAUUUUUGUAUAUUAAGACAUCUUGUAAACAGAAAGCUCUUCUCCCAAAACAUCAUCUGGCAGAAGGAACUGAGGUUUCUUUUCUUGAUUCUGCUCAUUUAAUAAUCCCAAACUACCGGAUAACAAUUUAUGUUUUCUGGAUUCAAUAUUCUCAAGUUUGUAUACUAUAACCAAAAUUUCUAAUAGAAGUUUUGUCAAUUAUUUUAUGUUAUACUAUAACAUUCCGGGAGAUGAUUUUACAACAUAGUUUAACCAAAUGAAGAUCAGCUGUUCUUCCUAUUUUAUUUUUUUUUUAAAUCACUACAAAAAUGAACUUGUCUGCAGACCAAGUUACCAAGAUGUUCAACAGUUAGUGUACCUCACAUUUCUCAGUCCUUAAAUAAAACAAGUGCUUAAAUAAAACAAGGUGGGGCACACCAGCCAUGAACCUAUGCACAACAAUCACACCUUGAUUCUUGAAAAAAUCCCGCCUCCCAGGGAGCAUGGGAUAUCUUUCACCUCAGUUUAUUUUAGAUAUGUAUUAGUUUAGUUUUAGAUUUGUAGCUGGGCACAGCUACUGAGGAAUCAAGCAUAUCUCUUCAGUGCCUUCAAAUAUAUAUAUUUUUUCAUUUUCUUAUCAAAUAACUAAUCCAACCCAUUUUCAGUCUGCAAAACAAAAAACUAGAUUGAUGCCCUCAGAACAAGUGUCAAAUCUUUAUACACAUUUAGACAAUUGUAGCACAGCAGAAGACAUUGAAGUGUCUGACUUCAUCUAAAAAAAAAAAAAAAGAUGCAUGCACAUAGGAUUUAAUAGAACAGUUCAGUUGGAAAAGACCUAAAAAGUUCAUCAAGUCCCAAUGCCAGCAUAAUGACAUAGAAGAGUUCUUGAAUAUUAUUAUUUCAGCACAUAAAAAGUCUAUUUCCAUGAAUAGCAUUAGCAUCUAUAGAAGCAUAUUGUUUAGAGUAUGCCUAGUGUUGAUGACAGGGCACAGGCAGGAUUGCAGCCUCCAGCAACCCUAAUCAACUAAUAGAAUAUUUUACUUUAAACAUCUGCAAAAAAUAGAACUAUUUUUCAUUAACUUUUCCUUUUAUUUCUACCCUCUUGUGCACUUGCAGCACAUGAACAGAAUUUUACAGCUUACAAGUAUACAACAUGAUUAAAGAUUUUUUUUUUAAAAAAUAUGCAUGCAAACUAUUAAAAGUUUUUGAUUUCUCUCUUCCUCAUAUUAAUUAAAGCAUUGUAUUCUUGAUGGAUUUAACAUACUAGCAGAAUUGAUUGGUAGAUUUCUUUCCUUUAAAAUAAGCUUUAUGAAUAUUCAGCUGUGACUGCAACCUCUACUGUCAGACUAAUCUUAGUUAUCAUCACCAUUACCAUGUCAUCCAGCGUGCCAGACAUGCUCGGACACUGCAAACUAUACCUAGCAUAAUUUAUAGGCGUUACUCACAUAACCAAUACAUACUUCUUAUCUCAUGAAUGAAUGGCUAAAUAAACACUAGCGUCUCUUGAUCUUUUCAUCACACAAGAAAAAUCUGUAAUAACUAAAAGCACAUACAAAAUGGUUAGCAUCCAGGCCUUUGAAUCUGCUGCCUCUGGUGAACAAGGAAGUUAUGGGAGCUCCUGUUCUUUCAAUAUUAUUUCUUGUAUAUCAUCUUCAAUAUUAGCUUGCACACACAAUUGGGAAAUAGCACAGAAACUUCCCAAAUAGCUGUGUUACAUCCUAACAAAGUACAGCA